UGGAAGGCCUGGGGCCCAAAGCCAGGCUAGGCCUGCUGAGCAACCUCCCCGCAGAGGCCUCCGACUGCUCCCUAGUUCCGCGUUCGACUCGUUAGGCCUGGCUGCUGGGCUGCCUGUCCCACGCCCGGUCGGGAUUUGCUGGGAUAGGAUUGGCAUCUGGUCUGGCAUUUGCCACGGACACCUAAGAAUUGGUUCCUGGGCUUUGCAGGGCCUGAGCCUGAGAAGCCCCUCAACAUAGUAUCCUCGCUCGAUGUAUCUGGGCUUGAGGCCGGCCCGGCGUGCCGGGGGCGCAAAGGGUAGCCAGGGUCUGCACGUUUGGGCCCUCCGCCAAAUUUGUUUCCGGUUUCCGGGUUAUGACUUGGUGGCGGAGACCGGCGGGACAGAUUCGCGUCUUAGUGCUGGCUAGUGACGGGUCCUAGGUGGUUUGUACAGUUCUCGAACCUUCAAGUUCUUGACGUCCCAUGGGAGUGUGGGCAGAAGAGCAGAAGUUCUAGUACUGGAUCGGCCUGAAUAGCCUCAGAGAAUCUGGGGAAAAAUCAACUCAAAGUCCGUAGACCUUAGUUCUAGAUUCAGAUCUCUAGGCUUCGCUUUUGAAUUUGUAAAAUGAACUCGGCUUAAUAUAGAUCCAAAUAUGUCUGAUAGCAUAUUUCUGUGAAUUGAAGAAAUGGGUGUUUAAGUUUCUUUAACAGUUUUGUUCAUCGCAGCAGUUACGGAGAAUUAUCAAAGAACUGUUAUGACACAAGCUAAGGAAAUGGCUUAACGGAAUGCUUUUGAGGAAAGACUGCUAACUAGCUAUUUGUGUUUAUAAGAAACGUGGUUGUAUUAAGUUUUUUUAAUGCAGAAAAAUGAAAGGACAUAUUAAAAGAUUUAAAGUUCCAAACAGUUUUCAGACAUAAUAAAAGAUUUUUCACACUC